rnacentral:rRNA from 1 species
UACGAAGGGGGCUAGCGUUGCUCGGAAUGACUGGGCGUAAAGGGCGCGUAGGCGGAUGGCACAGUCAGAUGUGAAAUUCCCGGGCUUAACCUGGGGGCUGCAUUUGAUACGUGUUGUCUAGAGUGAGGAAGAGGGUUGUGGAAUUCCCAGUGUAGAGGUGAAAUUCGUAGAUAUUGGGAAGAACACCGGUGGCGAAGGCGGCAACCUGGUCCAUUACUGACGCUGAGGUGCGAAAGCGUGGGGAGCAAACAGG